CAAAUACUUCUAGUUUCGAAAUCAAUUGGAUUUUUUUUUUUUGGGGGGGGGAGAAUAUUAUUCCCUCCCUUAUAAAACAUGGGUUGCUUCCUACACCCCCUGCGGCCACUAACUUGUUUAGCCGAGCCUUCCGAGUUCCGACAACUCAAACUAUAUAGGGUCUGGGAUUUGCAAUCCACUGGAAAAUGUUUAAAAUCUAAUAAGGUAUGUACAACACAGUGUUUAGCAUCAAAGAUAAAAGACAGGACAUAAGAUUCACAAAGCAAAAUUUCAGUUACUAGAAUAUCAAAC